CCUCGGGGACGACCUCGAGGCCUCCUGAUACGCAGGGACGACCCUG
rfam:Aeromonas hydrophila subsp. hydrophila ATCC 7966, complete genome.